rnacentral:rRNA from 1 species
GAGGAAUAUUGGGCAAUGCCCGCAAGGGUGACCCAGCAACGCCGCGUGGAGGAUGAAUGUCGUAAGAUUGUAAACUCCUGUUAGAGGGGAAGAAUAGUACCGGUUGGACCGGUAUAUGACUGUACCCUCAGAGAAAGCCCCGGCUAACUACGUGCCAGCAGCCGGGGUAAUACGUAGGGGGCAAGCGUCGUCCGGAUUUACGGGGUGGAAAGGGCGCGCAGGCGGGAUAAAAAGUCAGUGGUGAAAUCCUACAGCUUAACUGUAGAACUGCCUUUGAUACUUUUAUUCUUGAGUUCGGGAGAGAGAGACGGAAUUCCAGGUGUAGUGGUGAAAUACGUAGAUAUCUGGAAGAACACCAGUUGCGAAGGCGGUCUCCUGGUCCGACACUGACGCUGAGGCGCGAAAGCGUGGGGAGCAAACA